UAGCCUAGUGGCUAAGGCUAUGGAACGCCAAUCCGAAGACGGCGGGUUCGAUUCCCGU
rnacentral:tRNA from 1 species